AUGCAUCAUUCCAUGUCAUCAUGCAGGGAUGUAUAAUCACUUGGUUUAGUUUGAAGUAAAUCCUGACUCCUGAUCAGCAAUGAGAUGGACAGCUAAGAGAAGGAUAUUUUAAGCACUCAUCAGAGCGGCAAAAAACAAAGAAACGGAAUUAAAUUGUACAUUUCCAAAACCGCAAUGGCAGCUACACUUCAGCUAAGGACUACCAGUGCCAACAUAAUAGAAGACAAACGUCAGAAUAGUAUCACUAUUAACCACCUAACCAGUUGCUUUGACAAAUCCCCAAAAAUAUUGCCGCCAUUGCUGAAAAAAAUCCUACCCUCUCACAGUUCUUUUCUCCUAAACAGACAUAUAAAAGUAUUCUACAGUUUUAUGAUGUCAUGGAUGUGCAAGAAUGGACAUUUUCAACAUGUUUCCAUUAAAGACAUAAAGAAAAUAUGACUACAGGUGCUGAUCCCUUUCAGAAUACCACACACAAGAAAGAAAGUAUGAGCAGACCUCCUGUAAAUACUGUGUGAUUCAGAAGGCUGCAGUAAUAAAACGCAGGAUUGCAAGAACAGCAGCACAGGUGUCGCUGUCUCAUAUUACAUUCUCCUUGAAAUUGUAGAAAACCUAGACAUCCAAUCCAAUCAUCAGCUGGUGGAGCAUGUCCCUACUCCACUAUGCAGCUGUCUGAGGCUAUCAUAAGAGAAUCAGGAACUGCAGUAGUGCGGUGAAGGUGGACUGAUUAAUAUCUAACAAGAUAGAAAACCUGUGGUGUGGAAUCACACAACCAUUGGGCCACACAGAUGAACGGAGCCCACAUAAAAAUAAUGUAGACAAAGGGUUGAGGUUUUAAAUGUUUGUAACAGUUUCACACAGUUAAUUAAUUUUAACAUGAUUCAUGUUGUAUUGUGUGUCUCUAAACAAGAUAAAGAAUCUUUGUAAAACUUUGUGGAAAUGAUUUUUAUUGAACAAGGUUGGCCCAAAGUCUGCCUAUUUGGAUAUUAAAGAUUUCAUUGCAUUACUCAAAGAUAGGUAUUAAGUUCUCUUAAU